rnacentral:rRNA from 1 species
UGGGGAAUUUUGAACAAUGGGCGAAAGCCUGAUCCAGCAAUGCCGCGUGUGUGAAGAAGGCCUUCGGGUUGUAAAGCACUUUUGUCCGGAAAGAAAUCCUUGGCUCUAAUACAGUCGGGGGAUGACGGUACCGGAAGAAUAAGCACCGGCUAACUACGUGCCAGCAGCCGCGGUAAUACGUAGGGUGCAAGCGUUAAUCGGAAUUACUGGGCGUAAAGCGUGCGCAGGCGGUUUGCUAAGACCGAUGUGAAAUCCCCGGGCUCAACCUGGGAACUGCAUUGGUGACUGGCAGGCUAGAGUAUGGCAGAGGGGGGUAGAAUUCCACGUGUAGCAGUGAAAUGCGUAGAGAUGCGGAGGAAUACCGAUGGCGAAGGCAGCCCCCUGGGCCAAUACUGACGCUCAUGCACGAAAGCGUGGGGAGCAAACAGGAUUAGAUACCCUGGUAGUCCACGCCCUAAAACGAUGUCAACUAGUUGUUGGGGAUUCAUUUCCCUAGUAACGUAGCUAACGCGUGAAGUUGACCGCCUGGGGAGUACGGUCGCAAGAUUAAAACUCAAAUGAAUUGACGGGGUCAUAGCUGUUUCCU